UCCUAGAUAGCUCAACGGUGGAGCACCCGGCUGUUAACCGGUAGGUUGUGGGUUCGAAUCCCACUCUGGGAGCCA
rnacentral:tRNA from 1 species